rnacentral:misc_RNA from 1 species
AUAAAACGGCGCUGUUUUGUUGGCCCACUGACUGCCAAAAACAAAUGUUCCGAGCUGUUAAUUAGGCAAGGAAAUCAUUCGGAUGCUUCACCAAAAACAUAAAUCUCUUCCUUUCUCUCUCUAGACUCCAAAACUAGCCUUACCACCACCUGCAAGAUCAAGAACACCAAGAAACAAGAGACAGCUAUCGCAAAACUCCAUGGGUACUGAAUUCAAGAGCUCUGCCUCUGCUGUUCCACUGCUUGAAUCUUCUUCUUUAUCAUCUACAGGAACCGCUUCUGCAAUCCAAACGCUUGGGAAUAUUAUUGUUUCCAUUGUUGGUACGGGUAUUUUAGGCCUUCCUUUCGCUUUUCGAAUUGCUGGUUGGUUUGCUGGGUUGCUAGGUGUUAUUCUCGCUGGAAUUGCCACCUAUUAUUGCAUGCUUCUACUGGUUAGCUACCGUUAUCUUUUCCUUUUUUGUUUUUAAAUAGUUUUUUUUGGGUGAUAUCCCAUCUAGCUCUUGUUUCCCACAUGAAGUUUUGCUGCAAUAACAUGUCAAUUUCAAGCCUUUAAGAGCUUUGAUUUAUAUGAUUCACUAUCAUUUAUGGCUUCUUUUUCAUUUUCUAUUUCCCCUUUAAUUUUUAUUCUAUUUAUCUUUUUGGGGUUUGGAAUGGAAUGUCUUAUUAUUUAUGUGGUCCAUAAUGUACUAAAAAGAUAAGAUAAAAGCACUUUGGGUUCGGAAAAUGUAAUGAAAACGUCAAUACAACUCAACUCAGGGAUUACUUGGGUCAUUUCUUAUCAAUUAUUAGACGUUGCACUUUGUUUUCUUCAUGGGCUUCCCUUGCAUUGUUUACUUCUCUUGGUCUACAGGUUCAAUGCAGAGACAAACAGGCAUCCCAAGAAUUAACACCAGAAACAAGAACAUAUGGUGACUUGGGUUACAAAUGCAUGGGUAAAAUAGGCCGGUUCCUGACAGAAUUUCUCAUUUUCAUAUCCCAGUGUGGAGGAUCAGUAGCAUACUUGGUCUUUAUUGGGCAAAACCUGUCAUCCAUAUUCAAAUGGCAGGACCUCAAUUUAUCAUCCAUCAUAUUCUUGCUAGUCCCUAUUGAAAUUGCACUUUCUUGGAUUGGUUCUUUAUCUGCUUUAGCGCCUUUUAGCAUUUUCGCAGAUGUAUGCAAUGUGUUAGCAAUGGCAAUAGUGGUUAAAGAGGAUGUAGAAAAGGUGUUAAGUGGUGAAUUUAAGUUCAGUGAUAGAACUGCAAUCACUUCUAAUAUAGGAGGAUUGCCGUUUGCUGGAGGAAUGGCAGUUUUUUGUUUUGAAGGGUUUGGGAUGACUCUGGCAUUGGAGGCAUCAAUGAGAGAGAGGGGCAGAUUCCCCAACUUAUUAGCCAAGGCAUUCACUGGGAUUACUCUUGCGUAUGUGUUUUUUGGAUUUUCUGGUUAUAUGGCUUAUGGUGAUCAAACUAGAGAUAUUAUAACACUCAAUUUGCCCCACAAUUGGUCUACCAUUGCUGUUCAGAUUGGAUUGUGCCUGGGACUGGUGUUCACAUUUCCCAUUAUGGUUCACCCAGUUCAUGAAAUUGUGGAAGGGAAGCUGGAAAACAGUGAAUGGUAUCAAAAGCUCUACUAUGAUGAUAGUGGGAAUACAACAAUAGUUGGAAAGUUUGGAAGAUAUGUGAGCCGUUCAAUUUUGAUCAUUGUUUUGGCAUUCUUAGCAUCAUUUGUUCCUGGAUUUGGUGUAUUUGCCUCACUUGUGGGGAGUACUGUAUGUGCACUGAUCUCAUUUGUUCUGCCAGCCACAUUUCACCUAAUAUUAUUAGGUCCAUCUUUGCAUUUCUGGCAGAAAGCCUUAGAUUAUUGCUUUUUGGUUGGUGGAUUGCUAUUUGCUGGUUAUGGUACUUACAACGCCAUUGUUGGUGUUUGAAACAAAAUUUUGCCUUGAACUCUGUUUAGUUCUGAGGAAUUAUGCAUCUGAACUACAAGCCAUAGCUGCAUGAAAGAGAGAUUCUUUCUGGAAGACAUGCAUUGUUAGAAACUGGUAGAAGGGAUGUGUUUCAGAAAAUUUUGUAUAUUUGGAUACUGAAAAUGUUUCAACAGGCUUUGUGUUUUUGUAGUGGCUAUAGGUCUUCAUCCAAUCAAAAUGAUGUUUAGUUCUUUGUCCAUUUAUCCCAAACUCUAAGAUUCUCUCAUCUCUCCAUUGUGCACUCUUUUCAAAUGUGA